rnacentral:rRNA from 1 species
AUCAGUAAGCGGAGGAAAAGAAACUAACUAGGAUUCCCUUAGUAGCGGCGAGCGAACAGGGAUGAGCCCAGCACCGAACCUCUCGCCCGGUCGACGGUGUGUUGAGGAAUGUGGUGUUCGGGAGGAUCGUGCGCGCCUGUCCGGUAUUUAUCGUCCAAGUCUUCAUGAACGAGGCGAGCAACCCACAGAGGGUGUUAGGCCCGUAGCUUAGACGAGCCGAGACCGUGCAUCGGAUCUCUUCUCCCAAGAGUCGGGUUGCUUGAGAGUGCAGCCCUAAGCGGGAGGUAAACUCCUUCUAAGGCUAAAUAUCGCCACGAGACCGAUAGAGAACAAGUACCGCGAGGGAAAGUUGAAAAGAACUUUGAAGAGAGAGUUCAAUAGUGCGUGAAACCGUUCAGGGGGUUAAACGGGUGAGCCCUCGAAGGUCGAACGAGCCCCCGCUCCCGGCACUUGGUUGCAUGCCUUCGUCGACGCGUCUGCCGUUGAGCUUGCCUCUCGGUUUUUUCGCUCGGCGUCGACCGCAAUAGCCGCGCUGAGGUCCGCAAGUGGGGGGCCAAGUAGGACUCCGCGACCGACUGGGUGUCUGUUAGACGAGGCGUUCGUUAGCGAGUGACUCUCGGUUCGCUUCGGUGACUGGGUUGUUUUCGAGCGCGGCGUCAUUUCCAGCAGUACGGCCCGGUCGUGACCUGUCUCCUCCGCGUUGACGUUGGUGCGAAAUUAAUUUUUCAAGCCUUUGCUCUAUCGCGGAGGCCCAGAGCGGAGAGUAGAAGUCGGAUCUCACCCGACCCGUCUUGAAACACGGACCAAGGAGUCUAACAUGUGCGCGAGUCGUCGAGUCUAUCACGAAACUCGCGAGGCGCAAUGAAAGUGAAGCGGCCCCGAUAAAAAAGGGUGCAUCCGCGAGGGGUGAUCCCGUCUCGAACAGAGCGGGCGCAACCCCUGGGCGUCCAUACGGUCGCGCUGGCUCGGAAAAAAAUUCCUUCGCGGGGGUUUUCGGAAGAGUCGAGUCGUCCGGACGAACCAAGAGCGUACACGUUGGGACCCGAAAGAUGGUGACCUAUGCUUGACCAGGACGAAGCCAGGGGAAACCCUGGUGGAGGUCCGCAGCGAUUCUGACGUGCAAAUCGAUCGUCGGAGUUGGGUAUAGGGGCGAAAGACUAAUCGAACCAUCUAGUAGCUGGUUCCCCCCGAAGUUUCCCUCAGGAUAGCUGGUGCUCGCAAAGAGAACAAACGGAGUUUCAUCCGGUAAAGCGAAUGAUUAGAGGCCUUGGGNUCGAAACGACCUCAACCUAUUCUCAAACUUUCAAUGGGUGAGAAGCCCGGCCUAUAUUUUACUUGAUUGAGGCCGCGGCAAAAAUAUUUUUGAGAAUCUGAGCGCCCAGUGGGCCAUUUUUGGUAAGCAGAACUGGCGCUGUGGGAUGAACCAAACGCCCGGUUAAGGCGCCUAAACGACGCACAUUUCGGAUCCCACGAAAAGGAGUUGGUUGCUAUAGACAGCAGGACGGUGGCCAUGGAGGUCGGAACCCGCUCAGGAGUGUGUAACAACUCACCUGCCGAAGCAACUAGCCCUUAAAAUGGGAGGCGCUAUAGCGUCGUGCCUAUACCGGGCCGUCGGUCGGCAGAGCGAAUAACGUCCGUGUCAGCUCGAAGAGAGCGACGGCGCUGAGGCCCCGACGAGUAGGGGGGUCGCGACGGUGAGCUUUGAAGGGUUGUGGGCGCGAGCCUGCCCGGAGCCGCCGUCGGUGCAGAUCUUGGUGGUAGUAGCAAAUACUCCAGAGGGAUCCUGGAGGACUGACGCGGAGAAGGGUUUCAUGUGAACAGUUGUUGGACAUGAGUCAGCCGGUCCUAAGCCGCAGGCGAAAGUCGACCUAGUGACGGGCGUGCAUCUUUUUAUUUUGUGUUUUUUUUUCUUCUCUCUCUCUGUCUCUCGCGGCGAAACGGCGGUGCUUCGUGGAGUUUGUGCGCGGUUGAGGGGGGCUUCCAAGACUCGUCUCUCUGAGGCGGGUCCGCGAGCUCUUCUUGCGUACGCGUACGCUCUCCGUGGACGCGUCGACGUGGAGUCGCGGGAAGUGGAGCGGGGGGGAUAGAGACGCGAUUUUGAAAAAAUCCACUCUGAAACGCCACACUGGUUAAAGGCGAAAGGGAAUCCGGUCCUGAUUCCGGAGCCGGGUUGCGGCUACGUCCCAGAAUAUAAAAAACGAAUUAACCCUCGUUCGAAUUUCUCGGCGCGGUAACGCGACACAAACCGGAGAAGCUGCCGAGAACCCCGGGAAGAGUUUUCUUUUCUGCUUGAGGGACCGAGACCCUGGAAUCCCGU